CGUACCUGAGUGAUUAUGCCAUACGAGUUAACAGUCCAGGCGUGGAUCCAGGAGAUUUCGCGAUCCUGAUCGCAGCCUUCGACGAUGACUGUAGAUCCAAACGCGUCAAUGGAAAGAGGAACGAAUUCGAAGGAGUCGGUGUUGUCGUUGUCGGUUCCGGUGAGCAAUCGCAUCAUAUACUGGUGAGACGGAGGGCCAUGGAACCACCACUCGAGGUCAGGUGCUAAGAGCUUGUGGACGGUGUCGACGUCGCGGCAGCUUAGGGCAUGGUAGAGCUGGAGCACCACGCUCUUAUUGCUGGAAUCCUCCAGAGCUUCUUGAGGGUUAGCCAGUUCGGUCAGAAAUUGACGUCUUGUGGGUACCUUUAGAGAGAGAAAUAGAAUUGAUUUCCGAAGCUGUUGGGGUCGGGG
rnacentral:lncRNA from 1 species